GUCUAGAGCCAUACUACCUCAAUGCUCUUUAUCUCAUCUGAUCCUGAAAGCUAAGCAAGGUUAGGCUUGGUUAGGAUUUGAAGGGGAGAAGAUGGAACAUUACUACUUAAAACA
ensembl:rRNA 5S_rRNA 5S ribosomal RNA